GGGGGUCCGGGUGACGGCGAUCGCGGCGGCGCGGCCGUCGUCGGUGACCGAGUUCCAGGUCGAAUAGCCGGGGAUCUCGCCUCCGUGCCCCCA
rnacentral:tRNA from 1 species